UACGUAGGUGGCAAGCGUUGUCCGGAUUUACUGGGCGUAAAGAGCGCGCAGGCGGUCAGAUAAGUCGAAUGUGAAAGCCCCCGGCUUAACUGGGGAGGGUCAUUCGAUACUGUUCGACUCGAAGGCAGGAGAGGGAAGCGGAAUUCCCGGUGUAGUGGUGAAAUGCGUAGAUAUCGGGAGGAACACCAGUGGCGAAGGCGGCUUCCUGGCCUGUUCUUGACGCUGAGGUGCGAAAGCGUGGGGAGCGAACAGG
rnacentral:rRNA from 1 species